rnacentral:rRNA from 1 species
UACGUAGGGCGCAAGCGUUGUCCGGAAUUAUUGGGCGUAAAGAGCUCGUAGGCGGUUUGUCGCGUCUGCUGUGAAAACCUGAGGCUCAACCUCGGGCUUGCAGUGGGUACGGGCAGACUAGAGUGCGGUAGGGGUGACUGGAAUUCCUGGUGUAGCGGUGGAAUGCGCAGAUAUCAGGAGGAACACCGAUGGCGAAGGCAGGUCACUGGGCCGCAGCUGACGCUGAGGAGCGAAAGCAUGGGGAGCGAACAGG